rnacentral:misc_RNA from 1 species
CCCAAAUGUUGAAUCACAGCUUCUGCAGCAUGAAAAAAAUAUAAAUACGCACGUAUACACACACACACAUGCACAAACUUAUGUAUACCCACAAUAAAUAUGUAUAGAUAGAUGUAUGCAAAUACAUAUAUUCAGGAGAGGAUGCUCUAUGCUUAUAAAUUCUAACAUGGUAACUUCCCAUUACAAUGAAAGAAGCUCACCUCUAUUGUUUAGUGCAAGGUGUAGGGAUCUCUUGAUGAACUUAAAACACACACACACACACACUCAAAAAGUUUUGUAAGUGCAAGGUUGCAGAUUACCCAUUUUAUACAUUGGGUGAGAAAAUUUUCAAACAAAACGGGUAAUCAGCAACCUUUUCAUUUAGACAAACUGACACUGUUAGAAUUUUUAUCAAAUACUUACCAAUAUCUAAUUGAAUAGUGUAACGAUCGGGCUCCAACCACU